AAUGGCAGUGAUGAUUCUUCAAAUCUUAUCCUACACACUGAUCAUUAAUCGUGUUGACUAUCAACUCCGCUUAUUAUCUGAUGCCAUU
rfam:Ipomoea nil DNA, scaffold: scaffold2159, cultivar: Tokyo-kokei standard.